GAACUCGUUCUAAUUAAAUUAUGAAUUUCACUUUUAUAAUGAGGUAAUUAUUUGAUUCAUCGAGAUUUAUUACUCUGCAAUUCAUUAAGUGAAACCUAAAUUUAAGUACUACAUAGAUAUAAGAUGUUUGUACGUGCUAGGGAUGUACACUGUACAGUAACAUCUCCGUCAGUUGUUCAGUUUUGUAUUGGAUAUCUACCUACUUACCUACUACAUAUUUACAUCUAAACAGAAAAUCCAAACAGCAAGAUGUGUUUUUCUACAAGUUUUUUCAUAUGUAUUUGCGUUAUUGCGCCAAGUUUUUUCCUGAUUUCGAAGGCUCGUCGAGUUCGCUACGUAGGUAACCUCUUGGAUGACUUCCGUAGGAUAACCGUGAUAAUAAUGGGCAUCUCUCGUUUGAGGACGUGUACCAUUAUUAUAGAGAUUUAGGCAUUUCAUACGAUAUUUACGAAUUGAGAAGGGACUUUGGAUACGCUGAUCGGAAUCGAGAUCGAUACUUAAGUUUUUAUGAAGCACGAAGAAGUAAGUUCGCUACGAUUCAGAUACAUCCCUCCGGCUUCACAGGUGACUUCUUAGAAGACUUCCGUAAGAUAGACACUGAUAAUGAUGGACAUCUCUCGCUCAAUGAGGUGUGGCAAUAUUAUGCAGACAUAGGUAUGAUUUUGAAUUAUCAGAUAUUCAGAAGGGACUUUAUAGACGCUGAUCGGAAUAGAAGUGGAUUUUUAAAUUAUCGAGAAGCAAUACGAAGUAAGUUCGCUGCGCAUCCCACACAGAUCAAAAAAAAAAUCGAUCAAAAAAUAACCGAUCAAGGAAAAGCCGAUCAAGAAAACUCCGAUCAAAAAGAAGCUGGUAAUAGUUUAAUGGUAUCUGUCCAGAGGGACAUCAACACGAACAGAAAGAUUCGCUAAUUCCUGCUGCCUCAGUCGCUUACAAAAUCAAGAAAUGUCCGUAGAGUUACGAAAGGGCUCAAUCGAAAAGCUCGUCCAUAAAGCUAAAUUGUUUCAUUUCAAGUUUGUGCAACAUUUCUUGUUGCCGAAACAGAAUCUGCCAUACACGAAGUACGAGCUCAUACCAGAAUUCACCGAAGAAUUCAAGUUGAAGAAGUUCUUGAGCCGUUUUUGGGUACAAAUCGCACGUUGGAAGUAAUAAGGUUACACCUCAAAAAAAAUAAAUAGAUUUUAACAUU